GAUGAACGCUGGCGGCGUGCCUAAUACAUGCAAGUCGAGCGAACGGACGAGAAGCUUGCUUCUCUGAUGUUAGCGGCGGACGGGUGAGUAACACGUGGAUAACCUACCUAUAAGACUGGGAUAACUUCGGGAAACCGGAGCUAAUACCGGAUAAUAUUUUGAACCGCAUGGUUCAAAAGUAAAAGACGGUCUUGCUGUCACUUAUAGAUGGAUCCGCGCUGCAUUAGCUAGUUGGUAAGGUAACGGCUUACCAAGGCAACGAUGCAUAGCCGACCUGAGAGGGUGAACCGGCCCACCGGGAAUUGGACACGGGCCCGAAUCCUACGGGAGGGAGCAGUGGGGAAUCUUCCGCAAUGGGCGCAAGCCUGACGGAGCAACGCCGCGUGAGUGAUGAAGGUCUUCGGAUCGUAAAACUCUGUUAUUAGGGAAGAACAUAUGUGUAAGUAACUGUGCACAUCUUGACGGUACCUAAUCAGAAAGCCACGGCUAACUACGUG
rnacentral:rRNA from 1 species